UUACUACUUCCUCCGUCCCAAAAUUCUUGUCUUAGAUUUGUCUAGAUAUGGAUGUAUCUAACACUAAAACGUAACUAGAUACAACCGUAUGUAGACAAAUCUAAGACAAGAAUUUUGGGAUGGAGGGAGUAUUAC
rfam:Triticum aestivum genome assembly, contig: Triticum_aestivum_CS42_TGACv1_scaffold_558954_7AL